rnacentral:rRNA from 1 species
AGUAGGGAAUCUUCCGCAAUGGACGAAAGUCUGACGGAGCAACGCCGCGUGAGUGAUGAAGGCUUUCGGGUCGUAAAACUCUGUUGUUAGGGAAGAACAAGUGCUAGUUGAAUAAGCUGGCACCUUGACGGUACCUAACCAGAAAGCCACGGCUAACUACGUGCCAGCAGCCGCGGUAAUACGUAGGUGGCAAGCGUUAUCCGGAAUUAUUGGGCGUAAAGCGCGCGCAGGUGGUUUCUUAAGUCUGAUGUGAAAGCCCACGGCUCAACCGUGGAGGGUCAUUGGAAACUGGGAGACUUGAGUGCAGAAGAGGAAAGUGGAAUUCCAUGUGUAGCGGUGAAAUGCGUAGAGAUAUGGAGGAACACCAGUGGCGAAGGCGACUUUCUGGUCUGUAACUGACACUGAGGCGCGAAAGCGUGGGGAGCAAA